rnacentral:ncRNA from 2 species
UGGGAAGUCCUCGUGUUGCAUCCC